GCAGCAAUGGAUUUCAGUAUACUUUGACACAUAAUUUAUGUCAUCAAAACUCUUGUCACAAACAAUUGGUUAUUCAUAAUACAUAGUAACAAGAGUUGUGAUCAACUAUGCAGUUUACAUUGUGCAAGUUAGUGGUCCAAGUUGAGAGAGUAGUGAACAGUCUACCAUCUUCCUGCAUUUUGUUGACCUUUGGAGAUACUGUCUUUCAAAGAGACAGAAUAGCAAUUUCUAUUGCCGGAGGAGACUCUUUCCACAGUGUUGUUUUCAAAAUCCGAAUCUGAAUCUGUGCUUAGAUUUGACUGGCAGGUUGGAAUGAGCGAUUGUUUGAUUGUGGGUUGACAUUCAUUGUUUUUGGACUCAGUUAUGGGUGCCAAGUCAGUGCUGUUGGUUAUUUCUACAUGUGUUGAUAUGGAUUCAUUGGAGUCAGCUGCUGUCUUUGACUUGCACACGUCUGUUAGUUCUGACUGAAUCCGACAACGUAUCUGGGGAAUGUCAGCCUGUAGUAACAAAGCCAAUAAAGUACGAGUACUUACUAACUGUACAAACUGUUCUAGAUAUAUCAUUCAGGUUUUCUAAGUGGUUCUAUAAAUAGAAUGUUUGAGUUUCUUAGUAUCAGUAGUAAGCUGUUGACUGUUAAUUAAUUAAUUAAUGGAUAUAUAAAUUAACAAUCAUGUA